AACGAACGCUGGCGGCAUGCCUAACACAUGCAAGUCGAACGAGACCUUCGGGUCUAGCGGCGCACGGGUGCGUAACGCGGGGGAACCUGCCCUUAGGUUCGGAAUAACUCCUCGAAAGGGGUGCUAAUACCGGCUAAUGACUACGGACCAAAGAGUUAUCGCCUUUGGAUGGGCCCGUGUUGCAUUAGCCGGUUGGUAUGGUAAAAGCCUACCAAGGCGACGAUCCAUAGCUGGUCUGAGAGGAUGAUCAGCCACACUGAGACUGAGACGCGGCCCGGACUCCUACGGGAGGCAGCAGUGGGUAAUAUAGGACAAUGGGCGGAGGCCAGAACGAGCAAUGCCGCGUGAGUGAUGAAGUCCUUAAAGUAAUACAGCUCUUUUACACGGGAUGGUAAUGACAGUACCGGAAGAAUAAGCUCCGGCUAACUCCGUG
rnacentral:rRNA from 1 species